rnacentral:lncRNA from 10 species
GAAUGACCCUCCUGCAUCUUAAAGGUCUAUCAAUGAGAAGAAAGUGCCAACUGAAAACUUUUAGAAAAUACCCAGUUUACUCAAGGAAAAUAACAUGCAUUGAAGGUGAUUGCUCAAUAGAGAGAAGUUGAAACAGCAGACUAAUUGCCUGUUUGUGACACCCAUGUAAUCAACUUGGUCUGUUCUAGAUUAACAUUGCUAUGGUUUGAAUAUGUCCCCUCCAAAAGUUAUGUUGAAACUUAAUACCCAUUGUGGCGGUAUUAAGAGGAGGGCCUUUGGGGAAGUGAUUACGUCAUGAGGGCUCUGCCCUCAUGAAUGGAUUAAAAUCCUCAUAGAAGAAGCUUCAGAGAGAGCUUUGUCAUUUUUGCCCUUUCACCUUUGGCCAUGUGAGGACGCAGCAAAGAAGCCCUCGUCAGAUACCGACUGCUGGUUCCUUGACCUUGGACUUUCCAGCCUCCAGAACUGUGAGAAAUAAAUUUUUGUGGUUUACAAAUUACCA